AGAGUUUGAUCCUGGCUCAGGAUGAACGCUAGCGGGUGCGCCUAACGCAUGCAAGUCGAGCGGAGGAUACGCAAGUAUCCUUAGCGGCGAACGGGUGAGUAACACGUGGGUAAUCUACCGCAGUCCCGGGGAUACCCCUGCGAAAGUAGGGUUAAUACCUGAUAGUCUCCCCCUUAGGGGAGUAAAGGGAAUUACGGGUCUCCGAGGGAGCCUGCGUCCUAUCAGCUUGUUGGUAGAGUAAUAGCCUACCAAGGCGGAUGACGGGUAGCUGGUCUGAGAGGACGGCCCAGCCACACUGGGACUGAGACACGGCCCAGACUCCUACGGGAGGCAGCAGUGGGGAUCUUCCGCAAUGGGCGAAAGCCUGACGGAGCGACACCGCGUGGGGGACGAAGGUCUUCGGAUCGUAAACCCCUUUAAGGAGGGAAGAGCAAGGACGGUACCUCCUCAAAAAGCCACGGCUAACUGCGUGCCAGCAGCCGCGGUAAUACGUGGGUGGCGAGCGUUAUCCGGAUUUACUGGGCGUAAAGGGCCUGCAGGUGGUUCCUAAAGUCCCCGGUAAAAUCUUAAGGCCUAACCUUAAGAAGACUGGGGAUACUCAGGAGCUAGAGGAAAGGAGAGGGAAGUGGAAUUCCUGGUGGAGCGGUGAAAUGCGUAGAUAUCAGGAGAAACACCCAAGGCGAAGGCAGCUUCCUGGCCUUUUCCUGACACUCAGAGGCGAAAGCUGGGGGAGCAAACGGGAUUAGAUACCCCGGUAGUCCCAGCCCUAAACAUUGGUCACUUGGUGUGGGGGAGUAAUAUCCUCUGUGCGGAGGUAACCCGUUAAGUGACCCGCCUGGGGAGUACGGCCGCAAGGUUGAAACUCAAAGGAAUUGACGGGGGCCCGCACAAGCGGCGGAGCAUGUGGUUUAAUUCGAUGCUACCCGAAAAACCUUACCAGGGUUGGACAGAUAGGUAGUAGGGAACCGAAAGGGAAUCGACCCUCCCGUAAAGGGAGGGAGCCUAUCCAGGUGGUGCAUGGCUGUCGUCAGCUCGUGUCGUGAGAUGUUGGGUUAAGUCCCGCAACGAGCGCAACCCCCGUCCUUAGUUGCCACUUUAAGGUGCGAGCCUUAAGGGGCUCUCUAGGGAGACUGCCUGCGUAGAGCAGGAGGAAGGAGGGGAUGACGUCAAGUCCUCAUGCCCUUUAUGCCCUGGGCUACACACAUGCUACAAUGGGUGGUACAACGGGAGGCAAAGCCGUAAGGUGGAGCAAACCCCUUAAAACCAUCCUCAGUUCAGAUCGAGGGCUGCAACUCGCCCUCGUGAAGUCGGAGUCGCUAGUAACCGUGGAUCAGCAAGCCGCGGUGAAUACGUUCUCGGGCCUUGUACACACCGCCCGUCACGCCAACCGAAUGGAGGGCACCAGAAGUCGUCGGACCCAACCCGCAAGGGAGGGAGGCGCCGAAGGUGUGUUUCGUAAGGGGGGCGAAGUCGUAACAAGGUAACC
rnacentral:rRNA from 1 species